ensembl:snRNA U6 U6 spliceosomal RNA
GUGCUCACUUUGGCAGCAUAUUUACUAAAAUUGGAAUGAUACAGAGAAGAUUAGCAUGGCCCCUGAGCAAAGAUGACAUGCAAAUUUGUGAAGCAUUCCAUGUUUUU